AGCAUUAGAAGAGUUAUACAUAACCUGGGACGGCACAUAGCAGAAGGCAGGGGAUGAGAGGCACAAACUCAAAAAGGCACAAACGUCAGUGGGACAGAAAUCACUCGGUGCAGCAACAGGCUUAGACAACCAACAUCCUCAAAGGACAGUGAGAGGAGCCUGCAGCCAGCCAGAGCACAGGGCAGUCUCUCCAGGGCUCAGUCACACAGCAAAGAGACAGCAAACAGAGUCUAGUAAACCGGUGCCUCUGGGAGUGAGCGCGGCCAGGCAUUGCCUGUUUUGGGUAGCUGCUGUCACUGGCACGUCUGUUCUGGACAGCAGUAUUUCCAAACAAAAAAACCACAGAAACGUGCACAGGAAAUAAGG